rnacentral:rRNA from 1 species
AUUGAACGCUGGCGGCAGGCCUAACACAUGCAAGUCGAGCGGAUGAAGGGAGCUUGCUCCUGGAUUCAGCGGCGGACGGGUGAGUAAUGCCUAGGAAUCUGCCUGGUAGUGGGGGAUAACGUCCGGAAACGGGCGCUAAUACCGCAUACGUCCUGCGGGAGAAAGUGGGGGAUCUUCGGACCUCACGCUAUCAGAUGAGCCUAGGUCGGAUUAGCUAGUUGGUGGGGUAAAGGCCUACCAAGCCGACGAUCCGUAACUGGACUGAGAGGAUGAUAGGUCACACGGGAGCGGGGACGCGGUCAAGACUCCUACGGGAGGCAGCAGUGGGGAAUAGUAGGCAGUGGGCGGAAGCCUGGUCCAGCCAUGCCGCGUGUGUGAAGAAGAUCUUCGGAUUGUAAAGAACUUUAAGUGGGGAGGAAGGGCAGUAAGUUAAUACCUAGCUGUUUUGACGUUACCAGCAGAAUAAGCACCGGCUAACUUCGUG